GUUGCCAAGAAAGCAACCCAGGUUUACACUGAGCUAUUGUCUGAAAGUUUGUGUUACCUUCUGAACCUUUCUUUUUCAUCUGAUUGGAUCCUUUAUGUGUACAACCAUUUAGCACUCUAAUUUGAAAAAUUUGUCACUUUCAGUGGCAAAUACUUUCCCUUCAGAAUUUUUGUCAAAACUUUAUUGUUUCAAAGCAGGUACUAUGCCAUCUUCAGAUAGAAGUUUAUGAGUGGCCAGGCUGGUCUUGAACUCCUGAUCUCAGGUGAUCUGCCUGCCUCAGCCCCCCAAAGUGCUUGCAUUACAGGCGUGAGCCAUCGCACCCAGCCCUAAAUAAAUGGAAUUGUUGGAUUACAAAUCUGCAUUUACCUUUCUGAGGAACUGCCCAAGUACUUUCCAAAGCAACUACACCAUUUUACUUUCCCACCAGUAAUGUAUGACAUUACCAGUUUCCCCACAUCAACCCAGCACUCGUUUAUUAUUCAUCUUUUUGAUUAUAGCCACCCUAGUGGGUGUGAAAUGGGCAGAACUUUUCAUUUACACAAACUGAAACAUUGUACACAUUAAAGAGUAAGUCCCUGCACCUUCCUCGCCACAGUUCCAGAUGACUCUAAAUUGACAUAAUUUUUGUUGUUGUUGUUGUUUUUGGAGGAACCAAACUGCUUUCCACAGUGACUGCAUCGUUCCUACCAGCAAUGCACAAGAGUUUCGGUUUCUUGGCUGGGGGCAGUGGCUCACGCACUUUGCUGUCUCAAAAAGGAAAGUUUCAGUUUCUCUACAUCCUUGGCCAGCCAAUACUUGUUCACUUGUUUUUUAGAUAAUAGCCAACCGUAAUGGGUGUAAAGUGGUAUUGUGAUUUGGAUU
rnacentral:lncRNA from 1 species